rnacentral:misc_RNA from 1 species
UGCAGCCUUACAGCAGUCUGCGUCCUGUCUUCGACAAGGGAAUACUGUUCUGUGUGAGUUUAGUCCACUAUUGCUGGGGCGUGUUUCGUUCAAUACUCAUUUCACUUAACAAGAUAACUAGAAGGGUGUUUAUGUGUAUUGUGCGAUAAACAAUUUUCUAUCGGCAGUAGUGGCAGUUUCUCUUGUACAGGCUCCAACAACGCACACAAGUUCGGAUUCUGGCAAGCUCCAUAGCCUAGUUUGACGUCAUUGGCCAUCGACUCCUACCCACCACCCGAGAUACACACACACAGCACACAAUCGAUUUUCCUAGAGGUUUACAGACAGCUUUUCUGAGAGCUGGUUCGCGAUGGACCAAGAGAAAGUACCUCACUUCGCAUCCGCACAGGAGGAAGCACGAUAUUGGAGAUUAAAAGCCGAAGAAUUCCAGAGAAUUGGCGAAGAUGCCAGACUAGAGUUGGAAGAAUAUCAGGAAUCGAGUAGAGAACUAGAAGCCGAGUUGGAGACUCAAAUCAAACAAGCCGAACACCAAGUCCGUGAAUUACGAUCCAACAAUCACCGGUUAUUAAUUGAACACAAUUCAUUGAAAGAAAAAUUCGAAGCACUCAGUCGAGAGCACCACACUCGAGUGAACGAGCUGGAAACGCAUGUGCAUCAACUACGAGCCAAAAACGAAGAUACAACCAAGCGAAUCAGACAGCUAGAGCAAACCAACGAUGAUCUAGAACGAGCGAAUCGAGCGACGCUGGGAUCGUUAGAAGAUUUCGAGACGCGGCUGCACACGGCCAUCGAGCGCAACGCAUUCCUCGAGUCCGAACUAGACGAUAAAGAGUCGCUGGCCGUUAUGGUCCAACGGUUAAAAGACGAAACCAAAGAUUUGAAGCAAGAACUUCAGGUUCGGCAGAAGGCCAUUCACGAGACACCGGACAACGAAAAGCAAGAGAAAGCCGUUGUAGACGAAAACGAAAAAUCGGAUCCGACGAAAUCGCCGCUGGCCUACCCUGCGAGCAAUAACAACAACAAACUGCCCUCCAGCGUGCCCCUCAAACCAUUGGCAGUGACCGACACGGGAAUCACUCAGGCAGCCCGGCAUUCCGCCUUGAACAUUGUUGGAGAUUUGCUUCGACGAGUUGGGUGUUUAAGGCAGCAGCUCAGCAACGUCCAAAAUCCAACACCUGGAGUUUACUACCCACUCUUUCCCAGGCGUUAGAGAACAAAUUAUCAACGUGCCGGACUAUGGUGAAGGAGGGCAACGGGACGGUCAAGGAAGCUACUAGGGGGAAAUUGUUGAGUCGUGCAACUUCGACGGCAGCGCCGGUGCAGAGUAUCAUUCGAGCUUAACUAGUUCCAAUUAUUGACGAAAAUUUACAUCAACCGAAGCAAAA